rnacentral:antisense_RNA from 1 species
AAGGGUCCAUUUUCCUCACUAUAUUCUGCAAGAAUAAGAUCUCCAUCUUUGCCUGUGAGAUCCUGAGGUGUGCGCAUAAAAAACAACUCUCCACCACCUGAGGCUUGCCUCUCUUGUUCUCUCAUCUUGGCCUUUUUUCUGAUGUGCUUUAGCAAAGGUUGGACUGAAUGGGGACCUGGCUGAGACAGUGCACCAAAUGAGUACUUUUUCAGAGGUGGGCGAUGGAACUGCCGGAUUUUGAUGGGCCCCAUGUGGGUGGGAAAGAAGGGCUGCCAUAAUUCCAUAGCAGGAAUUGAAUGCUGGAUAAUAUUCCCUCCAAAGGUGCCCCAAAGACCCUGUUGCUUGGGGAAAUAAUACUCAUCAUUGGAGAGAUUCCAUGGAUCUUUCACUUCUGGCUGAGACAUGUUCUGCUGUGGUUCCUCCCUGAUGACACCUGUUUUGCCCAAGAGAAUUCGACUCUUCUUCAGAGAUGAUUCCUUCUUACUCUCCUUGGAGGGGGAGUUAGAGGUGGCCUCUUCCUUCUCAUCAGGAAUUUCCAAAAUGAGGUUCUCAUCAUUGGGAUCAAGUGCCAAAACAGGAGGUUCCAACAGCCAGGGCAUGGCCUGAGCAUCCCAAAUGAUAUUGUCCUCCCAGCGUCCAUACGCCAAAUCCUCAUUGUCAAUCGGAAAAAUGGAGUACCAAGGUUUGUCAUCAUCCAGAGUGGCUGCAAAACCUUGCUGAACAUUGUAAGCCAUUGCAUUCCUAGUCAUGCUAGAAGGAAGCCAGCCUGCCAGGCUUGCAUGCUGAGGUUUUGUCCCUUUGUGUUUGACAUCCUCCCCAUCCCAGAUGAUAGAAUCCUCCCAAUGCAGCUGUGUCACCAUCAGGAAGUUUUCGUCAGCCAGAAGAUCAGUGCCAUUGCUUUCCUCAAGUUUUCUAAAUUCCUCCGUCAUUCUAGAUUUUAUCACAGGUUCAUGUUGUGUCUUUCUCAGUUUGAAGCCAUAGUCAAACCCACUGCCAUCUUCGGAGACACCCAACAUAUCAUACCACAGUCGGGCAGGCCCAUAACGCCACUCAGCCACUCUUGGUUUGGUAUCUGUCACUUUAUCUACAUCUCCAGUUGAUUGGGAAAAUUUGGACUCCACAGGAACCAUCAUCGUGAUUUCAUCAUCAGAGAGGCACUGCUCUGGAGGUGGUGGUGGAGCAUAGUCAUAGUUCCACAAAGACUUCUGGCUGACUUCUGAUUCUACCGAGCAUUCCACCUCCUGGAUCUGCUCUUCCUGUAUCAGCUCACGAUGCUUCUUCCUCUUUCUCCGAGCACUCCGCCAAACAGAUGGGACAUUCUUCCCUGGUCCAAAAAGAUGUAGGAAGCGUAACACCUUUCCAGGUCGAAAUUCUGGAAAAAGUUCUGUGACACUUGGCAACAGCUUGGUGGCAUCAUGCUGCAUAACCCCAGCCAAUGGAAGGGUCAGCUUUCCAUCCUCAGAUUCUGCCUGUGUUGCUUCCUGAGGUCCCAUCUCAGAUUCUGAAUCAGAGUAACUACUGAAAUCCACCUUCUCUGAGGCCAAAAAAGAAGGGGCAAUGAUGGAGGGCAAGAUGAUGCCUUCUCCAUUUUCAGACACACAGGGCUCCCUCCUAAAACAGCCACUUAGGAACAAGAGCCACUGAAAAGGGAUGGAUGUCCUCCCUUGGCAACCCAUAGCAGGAACCAGCUUGUGUAGCAGUGACACUGCAAACUAAGGAACCAGAAGCCAGAUAGAUGCAUCCCUUGCGAGGGGGCUCCCAGUGGAGUCUUGUAGACUAUGUUACAGUGUGCUGUGGCUCUAAUUCAAUUCUAAGCUCUAGUUGUGUGACUAACAGCCUAAAGGAGAAAAAGGAAAACCAGCCUCAAAGUCCUGCCUGCUUCUGUCUUCUGGCAAGAAGAAACUAUGGCUAUACAUCCAGGGGGGCUGGAAGGGCUGAGUGGCAUUAUCAUUUUGUAACUCUCUUACUCACCGAAAACGCAGGAGAGGUUUUCAAAUGAAUGUAUAUUCAUGAGGAAUAUUUUUUAAAGACAGUAGAAAGAAUUUUUUUAAAAAGCAGCAGCAUCACAAGGCCUAUUGGUUAUCUCUGUUCAGCAACACACAUUUAGGGGUCAUGUCGGAAAAUGGUAUAUGCUCAUAGGAUCUGCCUUCCUUUAGGUCACACCUUUACAUCAUCUGCUUAUUCUGGAAACAAUAUUGUUUUUCCCAUGGGCUGCUUAAGAUUUCUAAGAUAUCACACUGGCCAGAAUACUUUGAUAAGUUCCAUUGCUCAGGAUCCUGGAUUUUUGACUGGUCAAGCCCCAUCCAAGGAACUGGAGCACAAAAUAGAUAACUUAGAGGUCAAGAGCCUGGCUUUGAGCCGAAGAGACCAGUCAUUAGAAUUUUGGCCCUGCUCAUUACUAUCUUGUGAUUUUGACAAAUUACUUUUCUUUCUAAGCCUCAGUUUCUUCUUCUAUAAACAAAGGCCAGAAAGAUACCUACUUCAUAGGAUUGUUACUGGGAUCAAAUGAGAAUGCCUAUAAAGUGCUUAGUAUAGUGCCUGGCACAUCGUAAGAUUUCAAUAAACGUUAAAUGCUUUCCCAUGC